rnacentral:rRNA from 1 species
GAUGAACGCUAGCGGCAGGCUUAAUACAUGCAAGUCGAGGGGCAGCAUAAUUGUAGCAAUACAGUUGAUGGCGACCGGCAAACGGGUGCGGAACACGUACAGAACCUUCCUUCGAGCGGGGAAUAGCCCAGAGAAAUUUGGAUUAAUACCCCAUAGUAUUACGGAGUGGCAUCACUUUGUAAUUAAAGAUUUAUCACUUGAAGAUGGCUGUGCGGCUGAUUAGGUAGUUGGCGGGGUAACGGCCCACCAAGCCUGCGAUCAGUAACUGGUGUGAGAGCACGACCAGUCACACGGGCACUGAGACACGGGCCCGACUCCUACGGGAGGCAGCAGUAAGGAAUAUUGGUCAAUGGACGAAAGUCUGAACCAGCCAUGCCGCGUGAAGGAUGAAGGUCCUCUGGAUUGUAAACUUCUUUUAUAUGGGACGAAAAAAGGCUUUUCUAAGUCGUCUGACGGUACCAUAUGAAUAAGCACCGGCUAACUCCGUGCCAGCCGCCGCCGUAACAC